AUCACCAGUCUUCCAAAAGCUGCUAGUUUGACAGCGAUGAGUACUAACAAUAGCCAUGUUCGCUGUUUACGUCCAUAAUGAACAUUUUGGGGGAGUGGCUUUGGAGGCCUGAAGCGACAGACUGCCAAACACUUUCUCAUUCA